UACGUAGGGUGCAAGCGUUAUCCGGAAUUAUUGGGCGUAAAGAGCUCGUAGGCGGUUUGUCGCGUCUGCUGUGAAAACCCGAGGCUCAACCUCGGGCCUGCAGUGGGUACGGGCAGACUAGAGUGCGGUAGGGGAGAUUGGAAUUCCUGGUGUAGCGGUGGAAUGCGCAGAUAUCAGGAGGAACACCGAUGGCGGAAGGCAGAUCUCUGGGCCGUAACUGACGCUAAGGAGCGAAAGCGUGG
rnacentral:rRNA from 1 species